UACAGGGGGGGCAAGCGUUGUUCGGAAUUACUGGGCGUAAAGGGCUCGUAGGCGGCCAAUUAAGUCCGACGUGAAAUCCCCAGGCUUAACCUGGGAACUGCGUCGGAUACUGAUUGGCUUGAAUCCGGGAGAGGGAUGCGGAAUUCCAGGUGUAGCGGUGAAAUGCGUAGAUAUCAGGAGGAACACCAAUGGCGAAGGCAGCACUCUGGGACGUGACUGACGCUGAGACGCGAAAGCGUGGGGAGCAAACAGG
rnacentral:rRNA from 1 species